rnacentral:rRNA from 1 species
GACGAACGCUGGCGGCGUGCCUAAUACAUGCAAGUAGAACGCUGAAGGAGGAGCUUGCUUCUCUGGAUGAGUUGCGAACGGGUGAGUAACGCGUAGGUAACCUGCCUGGUAGCGGGGGAUAACUAUUGGAAACGAUAGCUAAUACCGCAUAAUAGUAGAUGUCGCAUGACAUUUGCUUAAAAGGUGCAAUUGCAUCACUACCAGAUGGACCUGCGUUGUAUUAGCUAGUUGGUGAGGUAACGGCUCACCAAGGCAACGAUACAUAGCCGACCUGAGAGGGUGAUCGGCCACCCUGGGACUGAGACACGGCCCAGACUCCUACGGGAGGCAGCAGUAGGGAAUCUUCGGCAAUGGACGGAAGUCUGACCGAGCAACGCCGCGUGAGUGAAGAAGGUUUUCGGAUCGUAAAGCUCUGUUGUAAGAGAAGAACGAGUGUGAGAGUGGAAAGUUCACACUGUGACGGUAUCUUACCAGAAAGGGACGGCUAACUACGUG